GAAAGUGAAUAAGGGCACAUGGGGGAUGCCUAGGCUCUGGAAGGCGAAGAAGGACGUGAUAAGCUGCGAUAAGCUGCGGGGAUUGGCAAAUACGAAUCGAUCCGCAGAUUUCCGAAUGGGGCAACCCGAUAUGAUAGUAUCGUAUCAUUCCGUUAUAAGCGGAAGGCAAACGUGGGGAACUGAAACAUCUAAGUACCCAUAGGAGGAGAAAACAAAUAGUGAUUCCCGGAGUAGUGGCGAGCGAAACGGGAGAAGCCCAAACCGGUAUUGUUUCGGCAGUAUCGGGGUUGUAGGACUGAGACAUGGCAAGACAAAAGUGAAGUGGAAGCAUCUGGAAAGUUGCAUCAUAGAGGGUGAAAAUCCCGUACACGACUCAUUUUUUAAGCCUAUCAGUAUCCUGAGUAGCGCGGGGCACGAGAAAUCUUGCGUGAAUCCGGCGGGACCAUCCGCCAAGGCUAAAUACUCUCCAGAGACCGAUAGUGAACCAGUACCGUGAGGGAAAGGUGAAAAGAACCUCGAACAGAGGAGUGAAAUAGACCCUGAAACCAUGUGCUUACAAGCGGUCGGAGUCCCCUUGAGGGAUGACGGCGUGCCUUUUGCAUAAUGAACCUACGAGUUACUCUUGCCUGGCAAGGUUAAGUAUCUAAGGUACCGAGCCGCAGCGAAAGCGAGUCUUAAUAGGGCGUAUAGUCAGCAGGAGUAGACGCGAAACCAAGUGAUCUACCCUUGAGCAGGUUGAAGUUUUGGUAACACAAAAUGGAGGACCGAACCGGUAAACGUUGAAAAGUUUUCGGAUGACUUGAGGGUAGGGGUGAAAGGCUAAUCAAACUUGGAGAUAGCUCGUACUCCCCGAAAUGCAUUUAGGUGCAGCCUCGGAUAAUGAGCUUACAUGAGGUAGAGCUACUGAUUGGAUGCGAGGGCUUCGCCGCCUAUCAAGUCCAGACAAACUCCGAAUGCGUGUAAGUGAUCUCCGGGAGUGAGGGCGCGGGUGCUAAGGUCCGUGUCCGAGAGAGGAACAACUCAGACCAUCAGCUAAGGUCCCGAAAUAUAUGCUAAGUUGCAUUUAACGAAGUUUUGCCGCACAGACAGCUAGGAUGUUGGCUUGGAAGCAGCCAUUCAUUUAAAGAGUGCGUAACAGCUCACUAGUCGAGUGGCGAAGCGUGGAUAAUAAUCGGGCAUAAGCAUAUUACCGAAGCUAUGGAAUUCUUAUGAAUUGGUAGGGGAGCAUUCCAGUCUUGCGUUGAAGGCGUACUGCGAGGUACUCUGGAGCGUCUGGAAAAGCAAAUGUAGGUAUAAGUAACGACAAAGGGGGAUAGAAACCCCCUCGCCGAAAGACCAAGGUUUCCUGAUCAACGCUAAUCGGAUCAGGGUUAGUCGGCCCUAAGGAUAAGCCUUUGCGGCGAUUCCGAUGGAUGAAACGGUAAAUAUUCCGUUACUGUUAUGAUAAGUUAUGGGGUGACGCAGGAGUGACACCACUGCCUACUGACGGAAAUGUAGGUUAAAGGGGGUAGACGUAGAUCGUGGUAGGCAAAUCCGCUGCGAGAGUCGAACCUGAAAGUAUGGUAAGUCUUCGGAUGAGCCAAUAAUGUGGGUAAUCAGACUGCCAAGAAAAACCUCUACACGUUAAUUAUCAUGACAACCGUACCGCAAACCGACACAGGUAGUUGGGUUGAGAAUACUAAGGCGCUCGAGUGAUUCACGGUUAAGGAACUAGGCAAAAUGGUCCUGUAACUUCGGGAGAAAGGACGCCUGCAGCAAUGCAGGCCGCAGAGAAACGAUUCAGGCGACUGUUUAACAAAAACACAUGGCUAUGCUAAGUAGAAAUACGCUGUAUAUAGCCUGACACCUGCCCGGUGCCGGAAGGUUAAGAGGAGAGGUCAUCGCAAGAGAAGCUUUGAAUUGAAGCCCCGGUAAACGGCGGCCGUAACUAUAACGGUCCUAAGGUAGCGAAAUUCCUUGUCGGGUAAGUUCCGACCUGCACGAAUGGUGUAACGAUCUG
rnacentral:rRNA from 1 species